rnacentral:rRNA from 1 species
UACAGAGGUCUCAAGCGUUGUUCGGAUUCAUUGGGCGUAAAGGGUGCGUAGGCGGCGCGGUAAGUCGGGUGUGAAAACCCGGGGCUCAACUCCGGGCUUGCAUUCGAUACGGGCAGGCUAGAGUUCGGUAGGGGAGACUGGAAUUCCUGGUGUAGCGGUGAAAUGCGCAGAUAUCAGGAGGAACACCGGUGGCGAAGGCGGGUCUCUGGGCCGAUACUGACGCUGAGGAGCGAAAGCGUGGGGAGCGAACAGG